GACGAACGCUGGCGGCGUGCCUAAUACAUGCAAGUUGAGCGCUGAAGGUUGGUACUUGUACCAACUGGAUGAGCAGCGAACGGGUGAGUAACGCGUGGGGAAUCUGCCUUUGAGCGGGGGACAACAUUUGGAGACGAAUGCUAAUACCGCAUAAAAACUUUAAACACAAGUUUUAAGUUUGAAAGAUGCAAUUGCAUCACUCAAAGAUGAUCCCGCGUUGUAUUUGCUAGUUGGUGAGGUAAAGGCUCACCAAGGCGAUGAUACAUAGCCGACCUGAGAGGGUGAUCGGCCCCAUUGGGACUGAGACACGGCCCAAACUCCUACGGGAGGCAGCAGUAGGGAAUCUUCGGCAAUGGACGAAGGUCUGACCGAGCAACGCCGCGUGAGUGAAGAAGGUUUUCGGAUCGUAAAACUCUGUUGGUAGAGAAGAACGUUGGUGAGAGUGGAAAGCUCAUCAAGUGACGGUAACUACCCAGAAAGGGACGGCUAACUACGUG
rnacentral:rRNA from 1 species